rnacentral:sRNA from 1 species
AUGGUGGUCAACCUCUUCCACGAGCUGGAGAAGAUGACCGAGGUCCUGGACCACGAGGAGCGGGUCAUCUCCAACCUCAGCAAGGUCCUGGAGAUGGUGGAGGAGUGCGAGCGGCGGAUGCAGCCCGACUGCAGCAACCCCCUCACCCUGGACGAGUGUGCCCGCAUCUUUGAAACCCUGCAGGACAAGUACUAUGAGGAGUACAGGAUGUCCGACCGUGUGGACCUCGCUGUGGCCAUCGUCUAUCCACUCAUGAAGGAGUACUUCAAGGAGUGGGAUCCCCUCAGAGACUGCACUUAUGGCACCGAGAUCAUCUCCAAGUGGAAAAGCCUCCUAGAGAAUGACCAGCUCUUGUCCCAUGGCGGACAGGACCUCUCGGCAGAUGCCUUUCACAGGUACACCACAGAGCAGGGCUCUGUACCCCAGCUCCUUUCUCCUGGGGUGUUGGGAAGGAUUGCUGAAGGUGGGGGAAGGCAGCAGUGCUGGCCUUGAUUAAUUCUCUGCUCAUGCUGACAGUGCUUUAGGAAUUUAAAUUCAUUUGGCUAUGAAUUCUUUUUU